rnacentral:rRNA from 1 species
CCGAGAAGACCCUAUAGGGCGAAUGAAUUAGCCGCCGCGAAUCGCCCUUAGAGUUUGAUCCUGGCUCAGACUGAACGCUGGCGGCAGGCCUAAUACAUGCAAGUCGAACGGUAACAUAAAAGAAGCCUGCUUCUUUUGAUGACGAGUGGCGGACGGGUGAGUAAUAUUUGGGAAACUACCUGAUAGAGGGGGACAACAGUUGGAAACGACUGCUAAUACCGCAUAAAGCCUAAGGGUGAAAGCAGCAAUGCGCUAUCAGAUGUGCCCAAACGGGAUUAGCUAGUAGGUGAGGUAAAGGCUCACCUAGGCGACGAUCUCUAGCUGGUCUGAGAGGAUGAUCAGCCACAUUGGGACUGAGACACGGCCCAGACUCCUACGGGAGGCAGCAGUAGGGAAUAUUGCACAAUGGAGGAAACUCUGAUGCAGCCAUGCCGCGUGUGUGAAGAAGGCCUUCGGGUUGUAAAGCACUUUCGGAGGGGAGGAAAAGAUGACGUUACCCUCAGAAGAAGCACCGGCUAACUCCGUGCCAGCAGCCGCGGUAAUACGGAGGGUGCAAGCGUUAAUCGGAAUAACUGGGCGUAAAGGGCAUGCAGGCGGUUAUACAAGUAGGAUGUGAAAGCCUGGGGCUCAACCUCAGAACUGCAUUCUAAACUGUGUGACUAGAGUAUUGCAGGGGGAGACGGAAUUCAGGUGUAGCGGUGGCAUGCGUAGAUAUCUGAAAGAACACCAAAGGCGAAGGCAGUCUCCUGGGCAAAUACUGACGCUCAUAUGCGAAAGCGUGGGUAGCAAACAGGAUUAGAUACCCUGCUAGUCCACGCCGUACACGAUGUCAAUUAGAUGCUUGAGCGAUAGUCUGGCUCUCGAAUCAUACGCGAUAAAUUGACCGCAUGGCGAGUACGGCCACAAGGUUAGAACUAAAAUGAAUCCACGGGGGCCCGCACAAUCGGUGGAGCAUAUGUAUUAAUUCGAUGCUACGAGAAGAACCUUACCUGAUCCUCGACAUAGGCAAGAACCUCUCUGAAGGGAGAGCGUUCUUUACAGAAUUGGCAUACAGGUAUUGCACGGUCCUCCUCAGCUCGUAUUGCGAGAUGUUGGCCUAACUCAGGCUACGAGCGCAACCCCAGUCCUCUAUGGCCAGGGAAUAGUCGCGGAACUACAAAGGAGAUCUGUCCAGUGACAUGAGCGGAGACAUCCCGGGAUGACUUAUACUCAUCAUGCACAUUACGGUCAGGAUUACACACGUCACCCAAAGGGGCGAACAGAGGGUAACGAUACCGCGCAGGUGGAGUGGACCCACUCAGGUCCUUAACUUAGGAUAGUAAUCCGCCAAUCGACUCCCAGGAAGUCGGAAUCAGUAGUUAAUUGCGAAUCCGUAUGACUCGCUGAAAAUAGUCCCGCCCCCAGUACACAAUGCCAGUCAGGAUCGAAUUCUAAGAAACAUAACACGACUAGGCCAAUUCAUGAGGCUAUUUGACUGCAUCGGG